GUGGUCUGGAAAGAUGAUCCGGUCACAGCUGGGUGGAGUUUGGGCUGAAGUGGUGCGAGGCUGGGGCCCGGAGGCCAGAGAGGAGGCUGCCGACGCAGUAAGUAGUUCACGUGUGAGGAGACGAGAGCUUCGACCGGGGUCCGACCCGUUUGGGUGAAGAGGAAGGGGGGCGUCUGGGACGGGUAGCAGUGGACUCGUUGUGAACACCGGAAGACGGCUCUGGGGCUAAGGGAGAACGGUAGUGUCACGGACGGAACUGGGAAAGGCAGGAAGGAGGAGAGGAAGAGGAAGGCAGGGACAAAAGCAUCCCUUUAGCCGUCGGUUAAAGUCGCAAAACAGUGAUGCUGCGCAUUCCAUCCGUCUGGAAUAUUUAGUCGCUGAGUACCUAGUCGACCCCCCCGGCCUUCCGUCCCCCGGAGGGCUGCCUGGUCGAGUUCUUAUUCUGGCACCUCCGUGGAGACAGGCUGGGGGGCCUCUGGGGUUCCGGGAAACCUGACGCUUAGUAACGUUGGCUUCGACCGGGCACUUGCUACGGGUGCUAACGGCCGGGGUCGAGGCAAGGGAAUCGGAUCGGCCGCGGUCCCUGUCCGGCCCGGGACUCACCGAGGGAGGGGUGGCGGGGAUCUCGUCCCCGUUUUCCAGAUGUGGAAACUGAGGUCCAGGGAGGCUAAGCGGCUUGGCCGAGGCCACCCGGAAAGCAGAGGUGGAACUGAGGUAGCCGCAAGCCGUUUCCCACCCGAGGGUCGGGGUCCCGCACCCCGGCCACGUUUGGUUGGUCUCGCCACGUCCACCCCCGGCCCGGGCCCCGACAGAUCGGGACGGCGGAUCCGCGGGAAGCCGGCUCCCGCCCCGCUCCGGUCCUCCCCUCCCCAUUUUUCCUCCCCGCACCCCAGUUUAACCCCCGCCGAGACACCAAGUGGAUGUCCCAACCUCACGGAACAGCCUGAGCCCCGGCGGUCCCGCAGGGACGUGCGGGAAGGGAAGGCCGGAGUCUUGUUUUGGUAUGUUUUUGGAAGGAAGUGACCGUAGCUAAGCCCUUUCUGGAGGGCCGUGAUCCCUCAUCCGUUCCAAGGAGCCAGCGUCGCUUCCUCCUCACGGCCAACGCUUUCCUUCAAACCUCCCUCUCUUCAGCUGCCUCCUGCCCCCGCCCCUCUUCUCACGUGUCUCGACAGAGAUCCCAAGGUCCGGGAGUAAUGAUCUCGGCUUCGGGAUGGGCGAGCCCCGGUGGCCCCGGUGGAUUGCGGCGAGGCGGAGGCCCCGGAGGACUGCGGGAAAUUCACGGCUUCGGCGGAUCGCGGGAAAGCGAAACCUUUGGAGGAUCGUGGAGAAAUGUCGACUCUACGUUGAACUGUGGGAAAAUGGCGGUCCUAGAGGACAGAGAGAGAGCGAGGGCUCUGAGCUGGUGAGAUCCUCCCUCCGUUGGAUUCCAAGCCAUCGAGUCUCUCCCUCGCCAACGAUGGCACCGUCCCGCCAAGUCCUGGCUUCAGGCCCUCGGGCCCCACCGACUCCCGGGCACUCCCGGGGGAGACCGGGAAGACAUCGCGGCCCGGCGGGAGUCAGGAGACCCGCCUUCUUCCACCUGUGUGACCUGAGCCGGUCACCGAACCUCUCUGGGCCUCGGCUUUCUGUUCUCUAAAGUGGGGAGAAUAAUCGCUCUCAGGGACGUCACGCCCAGAAAAGGAGCCCCGGGCUGUGAAUUUGCGUCGGGAGCUGGAAGGCUGGUGCUGUUGCUGGCGAUGGCGGGUUUGCUCUUGCUCUUCUACUGUCCUGUCCUCUUUUUCCUAGUCAAUUGUAUUUAUUGAGCGCUUACUAUGUGCAGAACUCUGUUCUAAGCGCCUGGGAGAUAACAAUAUAAUAGCGUAACUGACACAUUCCCUGCCCACGACGAGCUUCCAAUCUAGAGGUUAGCUUAUAUCCACCCCAGCGCUUAGGACAGGACCUGGCCCCAAGUAAGCACUUAACAGGUACAAUUUAAAAAAUAAAAACACAAGUUCCGCUGCGGAUUUUACGAACUGUA